rnacentral:misc_RNA from 1 species
GUGAAUCAUCGAAUUUUUGAACGCAAAUUGCACUCUCCUCUGAGAGUAUGCCUGUUUGAGUGUCAGCCUAUAAAAAUCGACAUCUGUGCUGUUUCGCUGUGGCGCUCGUCGGAAAUGGGGUCAUCUUAAAUCCUUUUGAUUUAAGAGACUUAAAAUUUUCUUUUGGUUCCUUGUAGGUUUCUAAGUGCUAUGUCUUUACACGUUGAAGUUAUCGAUUGUUACUGUACGUGACCAUCAUAUCGGAUCGCGUUACUAAUAGUU